GGCAAAAUCAGGUAGAAUAAGGAAGGCAGAGUUUGCUGCGUUAUUGUAAUGUUUUUCGACCCUGUUACAAUUAUUUGCUUCAUGUUUGAUUUUUGUACAUGGUAGUUUGGUAGUAUUAAGGGAUGAGAUGGGUUGUUGGCAGGGCCUAUUGUUGUAUUUAUACCUAUGGAUUUCUGCAGAUGCAGAGUCCUCAUGUUGCUCUACUGCAGGCUGGAUUGGCGGUGAUUGGUUAUGCAAUUCUUUGAACUUUUUGCUGCUGAUUGUUGUUGUUUUUUUGGGUGGUUUGUGGCUAGUGUUUGUACUGUUCCUUCCAUUUUGAUAUGCAAGUUUUCUUGGCCGUGAUUUGUAUAGAAUUUUACCUUAUGAAUUCCAUGGCAUAGGGCUGGUCUUGUAGCCUGUUGGUUGUCCUAUUGUGCGUUCUGUUUUUUGCUUGUGCCUAUCAUAUUAUGCAUCUUGGCUUCUGGUUCUUUUAUUUCUUGGUUUGACA
rnacentral:misc_RNA from 1 species